rnacentral:rRNA from 1 species
UACGAAGGGGGGCUAGCGUUGCUCGGAUUUACUGGGCGUAAAGGGCGCGUAGGCGGAUGUUUAAGUCGGGGGUGAAAGCCCGGGGCUCAACCUCGGAAUUGCCUUCGAUACUGGACAUCUUGAGUACGGGAGAGGUGAGUGGAACUCCGAGUGUAGAGGUGAAAUUCGUAGAUAUUCGGGAAGAACACCAGUGGCGAAGGCGACUCACUGGCCCGUUACUGACGCUGAGGCGCGAAAGCGUGGGGAGCAAACAGG